CGGUUAAUGCUGUACACAAUUCGUUAACCUCUUUCGGAUGAAAUAAGUUACUGAUUGGAAAUAAUACUUGCUCUUUAUUAAAAUAACGAUA
rnacentral:sRNA from 1 species